GUGCUCACUUUGGCAGCACAUAUACUAAAAUUGGAACAAUACAGAGAAGAUUAGCAAGGAUGACAUGCAAAUUCGUGAAGCAUUCCAUAUUUUU
rnacentral:snRNA from 2 species